rnacentral:rRNA from 1 species
UACAGAGGUCUCAAGCGUUGUUCGGAUUCAUUGGGCGUAAAGGGUGCGUAGGCGGCGCGGUAAGUCGGGUGUGAAAUCUCGGAGCUUAACUCCGAAACUGCAUUCGAUACUGCCGUGCUUGAGGACUGGAGAGGAGACUGGAAUUUACGGUGUAGCGGUGAAAUGCGUAGAUAUCGUAAGGAAGACCAGUGGCGAAGGCGGGUCUCUGGACAGUUCCUGACGCUGAGGCACGAAGGUCAGGGGAGCAAACGGGGA